rnacentral:misc_RNA from 1 species
GUAAGAUAGCCCAAUACCAAAAGCAUGUAUGAAAAAGGAGUCUACAUUAGAACUUUCAAGGGAAUUGAAGAGUAGUCAAGAAACUUUUAAGCCUUGUGUAUUAGAAAAUAUGAAUCAACGUACAAGGAAUAAAAUUACACAAAAGGUCACACAUGAGAAAUUAACAAUAUGCAUGGAUAUUACACAGGAAUUUUUAAGAAUCAUAAGGUUAAAUCUGGUUAUUUUAGUUUUUGAACUAAUAGCCUAAUCUCCAUUACCUAGAAUUUAUGUUUAUUUAAAAAUUAUUUAAUACCCAUUCUCUAGAAGUUAAUAUGAUCAUUAUAUGAAUCAAAAUCUUGUUAGAUAUGAUCUAGAAUUUAUGGGAAAAUGCAAUAUAUUUGCCGAACCACAUAGUUAAAAGUUCAGACCCUAAUUUCAAGGGCUCUGCACAUGAAGA